rnacentral:misc_RNA from 1 species
CCAAACUUGGUCAUUUAGAGGAAGUAAAAGUCAUAACAAGGUUUCUGUAGGUGAACCUGCAGAAGGAUCAUUAGUGAAUUAAUAGAUGUGUCAUUCGUGACCAUCGAUUCUUUUAUCUAAACCCGUCAUGUCUUGGGCAACUAAGCAUGACAAAAACCUUUUUUAUUAAAACUCGUUUUUAAUAUAUAAAAGUCAGUGUUGACUCUAAACCCACAACAAUAUAACUAAAGAAAACUUUUGACAACGGAUCUCUUGGUUCUCCCAUCGAUGAAGAACGCAGC